CCUACGGGAGGCUGCAGUGGGGAAUAUUGGACAAUGGGGGGAACCCUGAUCCAGCCAUGCCGCGUGUGUGAAGAAGGCCCUCGGGUUGUAAAGCACUUUCAGUGAGGAAGAACGCCUGGUGGUUAAUACCCAUCAGGAAAGACAUCACUCACAGAAGACGCACCGGCUAACUCCGUGCCAGCAGCCGCGGUAAUACGGAGGGUGCGAGCGUUAAUCGGAAUUACUGGGCGUAAAGCGCGCGUAGGUGGCUUGAUAAGCCGGUUGUGAAAGCCCCGGGCUCAACCUGGGAACGGCAUCCGGAACUGUCAAGCUAGAGUGCACGAGAGGAAGGUAGAAUUCCCGGUGUAGCGGUGAAAUGCGUAGAGAUCGGGAGGAAUACCAGUGGCGAAGGCGGCCUUCUGGACUGACACUGACACUGAGGUGCGAAAGCGUGGGUAGCAAACAGGAUUAGAUACCCUUGUAGUC
rnacentral:rRNA from 1 species